CUUGUCUUUCUCCACAUUUCUCUGUUAGAAACCGGUUUGCUCUUCUCUCAGUUCCAGACUCAGCUCAUAAUACUACGACCGAGAACACGUGACACCUCUGAGCACAGAGCCUUAGGUUUCCACUGCGAGCCGAGCCGAACAGGUCUGACUGGGAGAUGACCUUCAUCUUCUUCUGAUUUCACCGACUCCUCCUGGGAGAGUUCGCCGCAUGACUCCGUUGUUGAAUGGACAACUAUGUGCAGCUAAAUCCCAAGGAAGCUGUUGACGGUGAUUCUGAUUUGUGAGAUGUCAGCGCCACCGUGUCAGUAUCAGCUCCUCCGAGUGUCACAUGACGAGCAGCUGGACAGAAUCAGAAAGUGUGAAUGAGACGAAUGAGCCCAGAGACACCGGCCUGAGUCUGAGGCAUCGAAACCUGAAGUUCAGCUCCUGCACUAAACUGUGGGUCUGACGCUGCAUUUGUGGAAGCUACUGGUUUCCAUCAUCUCUGGAAAGUAUGAAUAUAAAUGCUGGUAGAGGGUGGAAGUGCUGACUCAGUGUUGCACAGCAUGUGUCACAAUGGUAGAAGCUUAAAUGCAAUAAGAGUGGAUACGAUUUAAAACUCAUACUAUAGAUGGACAAUAAGAAGAGGACGAUAUAAAAAGAUGAUUUCUUUAUAUUCAAAUAAAAAAAAUCUGAACAAUA